rnacentral:rRNA from 1 species
GGUGAGUCGGGUCCUAAGGCGAGGCCGACAGGCGUAGUCGAAUGGAUGAACGGGUGGAUAUUCCCGUACCGGCGGCGUACCGUAAGAGCCGAACGGAUGAGUACUAACCUCCGGUCGCGUGGCGUCGUUCCCUUCGGGGUUCGGGGUCCGCGGUCGUUGGGAGCGUAGUCCUGGUAGGCUAGCGCACAGGGGUGACACGGAAUGGGAGCCGGCCGCGGAGGUGGUUUUCCGUGGUCAAGCACGCAGCCCGUCCCAUAGGCAAAUCCGUGGGACGCAUAGGGUGAGGUGUGAUGAUGGGCGUCCUUUGGACGCGAUAUCCGGUGGUCCAGGCCGUCGAGAAAAGCCUCGGCGCGAGGGGCGUCGCCGCCCGUACCCCAAACCGACACUGGUGGUCAGGUAGAGAAUACCAAGGCGAUCGAGCGAAUCCUGGUCAAGGAACUCGGCAAAUCACUCCCGUGCCUUCGGUAUAAGGGAGACCCCCGGGCGUGAAGAGGCUUGCCCUCGGAGCGUUGGGGGGUGGCACAGACCAGGGGGUAGCGACUGUUUACCAAAAACACAGGUGCAUGCGAAGGCGCAAGCCGCUGUAUAUGCACUGACGCCUGCCCGGUGCCGGAAGGUUAAGAGGAUCCGUCAGCCUUCGGGUGAAGCGGUGAAUUCAAGCCCCGGUAAACGGCGGUGGUAACUAUAACCAUCCUAAGGUAGCGAAAUUCCUUGUCGGGUAAGUUCCGACCUGCACGAAUGGCGUAACGACUUCCCCACUGUCUCGACCAGGAGCUCGGCGAAAUUGCAGUACGAGUAAAGAUGCUCGUUAAGCGCAGAAGGACGAAAAGACCCCGGGACCUUUACUAUACCUUGGUAUUGGCAUUCGGUGUGGAUUGUGUAGCAUAGGCGGGAGGCCGAGAGGCGCGGUCGCCAGAUCGCGCGGAGCCGUAAGGUGAAAUACCGCUCUGUUCGCAUUGGAUGUCUAACCUCGAACAGUCAUCCUGUUCAGGGACAGUGCCUGGCGGGUAGUUUAACUGGGGCGGUUGCCUCCCAAAGAGUAACGGAGGCGCUCAAAGGUCCGCUCAGCCCGGUUGGCAAUCGGGUUUCGAGUGUAAUCGCACAAGCGGGCUUGACUGCGAGAACGACGGUUCGGGCAGGGACGAAAGUCGGAGAUAGUGAUCCGGUGCCGGCGCACGGGCGCGGCAUCGCUCAACGGAUAAAAGGUACCCCGGGGAUAACAGGCUGAUCAUUCCCAAGAGUCCAUAUCGACGGGAUGGUUUGGCACCUCGAUGUCGGCUCGUCGCAUCCUGGGGCUGGAGCAGGUCCCAAGGGUUCGGCUGUUCGCCGAUUAAAGCGGCACGCGAGCUGGGUUCAGAACGUCGUGAGACAGUUUGGUCUCUAUCCUCUGCGCUCGUUGGAAUGCUGAGGAGGCCUGCCCAUAGUACGAGAGGACCUGGGUGGACGAACCUCUGGUAUGCCGGUUGUCACGCCAGUGGCACGGCCGGUUGGCUACGUUCGGAAGGGAUAACCGCUGAAAGCAUCUAAGCGGGAAGCCUGCUCCAAGAUAAGCAUUCCGUGGAACCUUCGAGUUCCUGUAGUCCCCAUGCAGAACACGUGGUCGAUAGGCCGGACGUGGAAGCCCCGCGAGGGGUGGAGCCGACCGGUACUAACGGACGAAAGGCAACACUAA